rnacentral:rRNA from 1 species
GCAUUCGCCCUUCGGGUGCGCAGGCGCGAAAACUUUACAAUGCUGGAAACAGCGAUAAGGGGACCUCGAGUGCCAGGUUACAAAUCUGGCUGUCGUGAUGCCUAAAAAGCAUUGCAUAGCAAGGGCCGGGCAAGACCGGUGCCAGCCGCCGCGGUAACACCGGCGGCUCGAGUGGUAACCGUUAUUAUUGGGUCUAAAGGGUCUGUAGCCGGCCGGAUAAGUCUCUUGGGAAAUCCAGCAGCUCAACUGUUGGGCUUUCAGGAGAUACUGUCUGGCUCGAGGCCGGGAGAGGUGAGAGGUACUUCAGGGGUAGGGGUGAAGUCUUGUAAUCCUUGAAGGACCACCAGUGGCGAAGGCGUCUCACCAGAACGGACCUGACGGCAAGGGACGAAAGCUAGGGGCACGAACCGGAUUAGAUACCCGGGUAGUCCUAGCCGUAAACGAUACUCGCUAGGUGUCGGCCACGGUGCGACCGUUGUCGGUGCCGUAGGGAAGCCGUGAAGCGAGCCACCUGGGAAGUACGGCCGCAAGGCUGAAACUUAAAGGAAUUGGCGGGGGAGCAC